rnacentral:lncRNA from 10 species
CAAAGCCCCCAGGCCAGGCCUUAGGUACAAUGUGUUUUGCAUCUUCUGUUGCCCGUUGGAACUUGGCUUUGGAGAUAAAAGUCCUGACUCCACAUUUCCAAAGUGUCUUUUAAGCAUUAUCCGGUUUGACUCUUAUCUACAGGACACUUUGGCAAAUGAGGCUUCACAGCAUGGCUGGUGCUCUCUGCCCUGGAAAGGACAGUAAAGGAAGGGAGCCUGUCUUGUCUCUGUCGGUCCUGGAAAGAUUGGAGCUGGGGGCGUCCUUGGAUAAUGUCUAGACCAGCCUCCCACUGUGGAGUCCAGAUUGGCCUAGAGCCCAGGAUCCUGCCCCCUCCUCCUGCCCCCUGUCCUGGCCAGAGGCUGCCUGCUCUCCCUAUUCCAUGUCUUUCUGGCCCAGCCAGGGGACACAGGGUUGGGGCAGGUUCCAAGCCUCCACCUCAUGGAGGAUCCCUGCUGUGGGCCUUCCUUCCCUCUGCCUCUGUCCCGUGGAGCCUUCUGGCUUUCCCAUUCCUAGCAUAGCAAUUGCACAGAGGUUUUGCAGGAGGACUGACAAGGCAACUUCUGCUGUGCGAAGAAAACAAGGCAAGACACUUGACCAUGGCCGCCAUGCACAGCUGCCCUCUCCCGUUCCCAGCCUCCCCUGCAUGGAGUGGCCCUCAGAGGCUUUUUGCGCUCCCCUGGCCAAGUGCACAAAGGGCCCUUCAAUUCCAAGUUCCUGUGGCUGCACCCCCUCCUGAAAGCCCUGGGGCUCAGGGAAUCCCCCAGUAUCAUGCCAGUUUGGAAUCCAGGAAGUCCUAGCAGGAAGUUCUCCCUGUUGCCUGGCUCCAGUCUCUCCUGCUGUGUUUCAAGCCCCUUCUCUUCUUGCCCUGUCCUCUGGAG